AUUGAACGCUGGCGGCAGGCCUAACACAUGCAAGUCGAGCGGAUGACGGGAGCUUGCUCCUUGAUUCAGCGGCGGACGGGUGAGUAAUGCCUAGGAAUCUGCCUGGUAGUGGGGGACAACGUUUCGAAAGGAACGCUAAUACCGCAUACGUCCUACGGGAGAAAGCAGGGGACCUUCGGGCCUUGCGCUAUCAGAUGAGCCUAGGUCGGAUUAGCUAGUUGGUGGGGUAAUGGCUCACCAAGGCGACGAUCCGUAACUGGUCUGAGAGGAUGAUCAGUCACACUGGAACUGAGACACGGUCCAGACUCCUACGGGAGGCAGCAGUGGGGAAUAUUGGACAAUGGGCGAAAGCCUGAUCCAGCCAUGCCGCGUGUGUGAAGAAGGUCUUCGGAUUGUAAAGCACUUUAAGUUGGGAGGAAGGGCAGUAAGUUAAUACCUUGCUGUUUUGACGUUACCGACAGAAUAAGCACCGGCUAACUCUGUGCCAGCAGCCGCGGUAAGAC
rnacentral:rRNA from 1 species